AGAAGAUGUCUCAUUUGUUGAGGAAACCCCUGCACCAUUGGAAGUCGUACCAACAGUUGAGGAGACCCCAGCUACAGAAGCAGUAGCUUCAUCUGUUGAGGAAAUUUCUGCACCGGUGGAUGUUGCAUCCAUUACUGAGGAAGUCAUGGCACUGGAAGAAGUUGGAUCAGUUACUGAGAAGUUUGUGCUACCAACAGAAGAAACCACAUCACCACUAGUAGAAGGGGUUUUGGCACCAGAAAUACUUGAUGUCCCUGCAACUUUACCUGAAGAACCAGUUGUAUGUGCAGAAGUUGCAGGAAGCAUUUUAGGAGAAGCAGAUAAACCCGUUGUGGAGACUCCAGCAGAAGAUGUCAACAAGCAGUAUAUUAUUGUUGUUUUGGAGGGAAAACCUAAAGAGGAAAAGAGGCCAAAGGUUCUAGGAGUUAGUCCGCUGACUGGUAGAAUCAUCCCAGCUACAGAAGAUGACAGUACCCCUCCCUCUGAGGUUGGACGAAGUCGUCUUAGGAUGCAAAUGCAGUAGAAUCGAUAAAGUAAACCUCCAGAAUGACGUCUUACUGUCCUCCAGUAGAUGUGCCUUUCUCCAACACUUUCCUUCAUCCUUUUAUCCUUAAAUACAAAGAGAGUCGCUCAGUUACGCUCCAAAGGCACGAGCUCACUCGACCCUGUUAGCAGUGGCCCAAACAACCCAUUACUGUGAAAUCCCACAUGGAUAAUGGUUCCAGGUGACUCCAGUCAUGUUAGAGAUGUCUGGUUGGUAUUUUAGCAUUGUUAGAAACUUUUCAGUGAAUCCUUGUCUGUUGACACUUUUUGACUGAACUGAAACUUUUAGUCAACACUUUAUUCUUAAUGUUACAGUUUACUGCUUUAAAAACACUCCUCUUAGAUGUGCUGAUACUCCGCACCGAGCCCAGCCGCCACAGUAUUAUCUUUCAGACUGAGCAGUUUUUAAGGGUCCCAGCGCUCUGUUAC